CCUACGGGUGGCUGCAGUGGGGAAUCUUCCACAAUGGGCUAACGCCUGAUUGAGCAACGCCGCGUGAGUGAAGAAGGUCUUCGGGUCUUAAAACCCUUUUGUUCGGGCAGAAAGUGCGUGAGAGUAACUGUUCACGUUUCGACGCUAUCUAACCAGAAACCCACGACUAACUACGUGCCAUCAGCCGAGUUAAUACGUAGGGAGCAAUCGUUAUCCGGAUUUAUUGGGCGUAAAGGGAACGCAGGAGGGCUUUUAAGUCUGAUGUGAAAGCCGUAGGCUUAAACGGCGUAGUGCAUUGGAAACGGGGAUACUGGAGUGAAGAAGAGGAGUGGGGAAUUCGUGGUGUAGCGGUGAAAUGCGUAGAUAUAUGGAAGAACACCAGUGGCGAAAGCGGCUUUCUGGUCUGUAACUGACGCUGAGGUUCGAAAGCGUGGGUAGCAAACAGGAUUAGAUACCCUUGUAGUC
rnacentral:rRNA from 1 species